UACAGAGGUCUCAAGCGUUGUUCGGAUUUACUGGGCGUAAAGGGCGCGUAGGCGGUCGUGACAAGUCACUUGUGAAAUCUCCGGGCUUAACUCGGAACGGUCAAGUGAUACUGCCGUGCUUGAGGACUGGAGAGGAGACUGGAAUUUACGGUGUAGCGGUGAAAUGCGUAGAUAUCGUAAGGAAGACCAGUGGCGAAGGCGGGUCUCUGGACAGUUCCUGACGCUGAGGCACGAAGGUCAGGGGAGCAAACGGG
rnacentral:rRNA from 1 species